GUCUACGGCCAUACCACCCUAAACGCGCCCCAUCUCAUCUGAUCUCAGAAGCUAAGUAGGGUCGGGCCUGGUUAGUACUUGGAUAGGAGGCAGAAUGACUUUGGGCUGUUUCCA
rnacentral:rRNA from 1 species